GCAGCAGCCGCGGUAAUACGGAGGGUGCAAGCGUUAAUCGGAAUUACUGGGCGUAAAGCGCACGCAGGCGGUCUGUCAAGUCAGAUGUGAAAUCCCCGGGCUUAACCUGGGAACUGCAUUUGAAACUGGCAGGCUAGAGUCUUGUAGAGGGGGGUAGAAUUCCAGGUGUAGCGGUGAAAUGCGUAGAGAUCUGGAGGAAUACCGGUGGCGAAGGCGGCCCCCUGGACAAAGACUGACGCUCAGGUGCGAAAGCGUGGGGAGCAAACAGGAUUAGAUACCCCGGUAGUCCCUGUCUCUUAUCC
rnacentral:rRNA from 1 species